rnacentral:rRNA from 1 species
AGCAGCCGCGGUAAUUCCAGCUCCAAUAGCGUAUAUUAAAGUUGUUGCAGUUAAAAAGCUCGUAGUUGAAUUUCGGGAUUGACGUGAUGGUCGUGCCUUAAGGGGUAUGAACUGUUGCUGUUGAUUUCUCACCUUCUGGAGAAACUUGAUGUCCUUAAUUGGGUGUCUUGCGGAUCCAGGACCUUUACCUUGAAAAAAUUAGAGUGUUUAAAGCAGGCAUUUUGCUCGAAUACAUUAGCAUGGAAUAAUAGAAUAGGACGGCAUGGUUCUAUUUUGUUGGUUUCUAGGAUCACCGUAAUGAUUAAUAGGGAUAGUUGGGGGCAUUAGUAUUCAAUUGUCAGAGGUGAAAUUCUUGGAUUUAUUGAAGACUAACUACUGCGAAAGCAUUUGCCAAGGAUGUUUUCAUUAAUCAAGAACGAAAGUUAGGGGAUCGAAGACGAUCAGAUACCGUCGUAGUCUUAACCAUAAACUAUGCCGACUAGGAAUCAGACGAUGUUAAUUUUUAA